GACGAACGCUGGCGGCGUGCUUAACACAUGCAAGUCGAACGGAAAGGCCCUGAUUUUGUGGGGUGCUCGAGUGGCGAACGGGUGAGUAACACGUGAGUAACCUGCCCUUGACUUUGGGAUAACUUCAGGAAACUGGGGCUAAUACCGGAUAGGAGCUCCUGCUGCAUGGAGGGGGUUGGAAAGUUUCGGCGGUUGGGGAUGGACUGGCGGCUUAUCAGCUUGUUGGUGGGGUAGUGGCUUACCAAGGCUGUGACGGGUAGCCGGCCUGGGAGGGUGACCGGCGACAUUGGGCCUGAGAUACGGCCCAGACUCCUACGGGAGGCAGCAGUGGGGAAUAUUGCACAAUGGGCGGAAGCCUGAUGCAGCAACGCCGCGUGCGGGAUGACGGCUUUCGGGGUGUAAACCGCUUUCGCCUGUGACGAAGCGUGAGUGACGGUAAUGGGUAAAGAAGCACCGGCUAACUACGUG
rnacentral:rRNA from 1 species